GACGAACGCUGGCGGCGUGCUUAACACAUGCAAGUCGAACGGAAAGGCCCUGCUUUUGUGGGGUGCUCGAGUGGCGAACGGGUGUGUAACACGUGAGUAACCUGCCCUUGACUUUGGUAUAACUUCAGGAAACUGGGGCUAAUACCGGAUAGGAGCUCCUGCUGCAUGGUGGGGGUGGGAGAGUUUCGGCGGUUGGGGAUGGACUCGCGGCUUAUCAGCUUGUUGGUGGGGUAGUGGCUUACCAAGGCUUUGACGGGUAGCCGGCCUGAGAGGGUGACCGGCCACACUGGGACUGAGAUACGGCCCAGACUCCUACGGGAGGCAGCAGUGGGGAAUAUUGCACAAUGGGCGGAAGCCUGAUGCAGCGACGCCGCGUGCGGGAUGACGGCCUUCGGGUUGUAAACCGCUUUCGCCUGUGACGAAGCGAAAGUGACGGUAAUGGGUAAAGAAGCACCGGCUAACUACGUG
rnacentral:rRNA from 1 species